AAAAACAGGUAACAAUACAGUUGAGCUCACCAAAACCUUACCUGCUGUGGGGAAAGAAUACUGCCCCAUGAAUCUUUCACACGUUUCUCUAUUAUACACUUAUCAAAGCUGUAAGACCAAAAUCUCUUAGAAAUCUUUAAAAGGCACAGUUAAGCAAGCCAAUGUUGUGUGGGCAUAAGAGACUAGUGAUGAAUGAUCAAUUGAUGAAUAGUUUUCUAAAUGUGUUUUUCGCAAGCAUUUUUAAAUCACAUGUUAGACGUAAGCUUUUUUAAAAGCAUUGUGGAAAUCACAGCAACAUGGCUUUCUUGUUUGAUUUUAUUAGGCAAAAACGAUGGAUGGUUUGAUAUUCUCUUAGAAAGGCUGACAGCUACUAUAUAGAACCACUCAGGAACAAUAAUGAUAGGUAUCAACGAUACUGAUUAGAUGAAAAAUUCAUUUAUGUUUUUCUGCUGAAUAUCAAUCUUAAUAAAUAGAUGGCUUUUAAACCAAAACGUAGUACUAGCAUACAGUAAAUUCUUUUACCACUGUAAUAAAGGAGCUACAAAACAAGGAU
rnacentral:lncRNA from 1 species